rfam:Oryza brachyantha chromosome 8, whole genome shotgun sequence.
UUGCAGCACCGCACUGGUGAUUUUUUUUAUCCUGCUUACUGCCCAUGUUUGUGGGAUAUUGGGACUGGUGCAUAAAGGGAAUGCUGUUCUUUGGAGCAGCGGUGGCCAGACAACCGUCGAGAUAGAUCCACAGACGAAUGGCUAAUGUGUUAUUUGUCUACUAAUUAUAUCUCAUAUUU